UUACUCUGGUUUCUCUUCAGAUCGUAUAAAUCUUUCGCCUUUUACUAAAGAUUUCCGUGGAGAGGAACAUUUAUUUUAUAGUACAGUAAUGGCAUGAACAUAUAACUGUCACA